CUAAAAGCCCCACAAAACCGGACAGAUCCCAACACGCCCCAAAAACGACUUCCCCUUCUCACAAAAGGGUGGGUGAAGAAGAAACUCCUCAAUCUGUCUCUCUACAACCUCUAGACCUAGAAAAACAAAAGUCAAACUCCACGAAGAAACAACUAUAGAUUGCAUAAGCAAACUCAUAGCUCCAAAAAAAAAAAAUAUAUGAUCUAGCUAAAUUUCACAAUAAUUAUAGCAAGUAAUAGUCAGAGAAAACUCAAACUCUAAACCAAACUUCAACUCGACUUCCCUUCUGGUAGCAAUAUUGAGGAUCUCCAACUUCUUUUUCCUAGCUAGAGCAUAGAAGUCAAAUGUCAUGAUCAUGUUUGUCUAGGGUGUUACCUAUAGUUGCAUGCUUGUAAUAACUUUUUUUACCAAGCUUUCAUUUUGCAUACCAAUUUAGUUUCCUUGUCUUUUGUUAGUGUAUGAAUCCUCACCACUUGCCAUGUGCAAGGGUGACACAUUGAAUAUGCCUCAAUGUACUAUAUGUGUAAGGCUGAUUAUCAUCCUUCCUACCUUGAUUGUAUACUAUAAAAUUUGUUGUUUAUCUUAGAUGCUUUUUAGCAUACAACAAAUGUUCUCUCAAAAGUUUUCCAGUGAUUUUCCAAAAACUUUUCCCGUAAUCCCGUUUUCUAAAAAUAUUUUUCUCAAAAAACGGAGGUGGAGAAUGCAAGAUAGGCCUAUUGUGCCAUCGACAUCCUGAAUUUGAGUUGAUUGACUUGCUCAAGCACUAAGUUUAAGUACGUUCUUUCACUCGAACACCUUCCAUAAACAUUUUGACUUUCCUUGCUUGCCCGGUUAAUAUUUGUGCAAGCUUCUGACGUAGCAAGGGCGAGAGCAAGUGUCACAAUCAUUUUGAGAGUCUCAAAAGACUACAAUUGUGACCCCAAACAUCGUACCCCAAGCCCCCAAUGCAAGGAGUUCAGAAAAAUGUCAAAACAAGGGAGAAUCUCCUUAUUCCUUACCCUUGCCAAAAGACAUUCCCCCCCACAAGUUGCCAAAGAAGCUAGAGUAAACCUAUCAUUCGCUUUAGAUGGAACUUGGAAAAAGAUCACUAUGUUUCCAACCUUCUUCUACAUCAAAAACCUAAUGGGUUUUCUAGCUCAAAAGCUGCCCCCUGCAAUCCUUGAGCCAAGCUACCAUUCCCAAUUCCAACUCCAACCUCUCCACUCAUAUUCCUCUGUGCUCUUCUACACACACCUUUCAUAACCACCUUUUUGAGUAGCGUUCCCAAUUCCAACUCCAACCUCUCCACUUGUGUUCUCCUAUGCUCUUCUACACACCUUACACAACCACCUUUUUGAAGGUGAAACACCUCAUAAUCGAUGCACGCCCUCUACAUCUCAUCUCCCUCAUCAGUACUUCAUUUUGUCAUGCAACAAUGAAGGGAUACGUUCUAAAGCUUAGAUAGAAAAGAAACCGGAGAAAGGGAUAGGGAAGUAGAAGACUUAAAAUUGGGCAUUGUGACCUCAAAAGAACACUGAUAAAUAGUUAAAUUGCAGCAUAAUAGCCUCUUUUU